GAUGAACGCUGGCGGCGUGCCUAAUACAUGCAAGUCGAGCGAACGGACGAGAAGCUUGCUUUUCUGAUGUUAGCGGCGGACGGGUGAGCGACACGUGGAUAACCUACCUAUAAGACUGGGAUAACUUCGGGAAACCGGAGCUAAUACCGGAUAAUAUUUUGAACCGCAUGGUUCAAAAGUGAAAGACGGUCUUGCUGUCACUUAUAGAUGGAUCCGCGCUGCAUUAGCUAGUUGGUAAGGUAACGGCUUACCAAGGCAACGAUGCAUAGCCGACCUGAGAGGGUGAUCGGCCACACUGGAACUGAGACACGGUCCAGACUCCUACGGGAGGCAGCAGUAGGGAAUCUUCCGCAAUGGGCGAAAGCCUGACGGAGCAACGCCGCGUGAGUGAUGAAGGUCUUCGGAUCGUAAAACUCUGUUAUUAGGGAAGAACAUAUGUGUAAGUAACUGUGCACAUCUUGACGGUACCUAAUCAGAAAGCCACGGCUAACUACGUG
rnacentral:rRNA from 1 species